AGUGUAUGUGGUCUUCCUCCGCGUGUGGACGUAAUAGACCUCAGGGCCUUGCAUAAGAUUGCAUCAAACGUUAUGUUAUGGUUCUACCCGUUUAGUUUAAGGAUAUAUUUAUUAGGUAUUUCGCUGAACUAUUACCGAAUUUGAAGUCGACAUCUUUUCUAAUAAUUCAGUAUUACAGUUGGGCGUUUGUAACCGGACACCGCACUGGCGCUAACCUCGUUUUCUGCGGAGGGAUACUGGAAUUCGACUGACAAUGUGGAGGUUGCUAAAAUGUCUACUCUGAGGCAGAAAUGGUUACAAUUGUAGCAGCCCCAAGAACGAUUUAGGGCUUCGAACAAUUGUUUAUUCGGCAACGUUGUUAUUGUGACUGUUGCUUGGACUUUCUGCGCACACUGGAAUAGCGGAAAGGUGAAGAUAUCGUUCGGCCAAAUUUGCGGCUCUAAAACACGGGAGGGGGAUUCUCCUCAACUUUAUGUUUUUCUUUCUGCCGAGAACACUAUCCUCUCCUGUUGGAUGCAAGACUUCUGAAGAGCGAAGGGCUAGUCUUUGUGGCUGAGUGAGUGAGCGUGUGAGGUGAGACCAGAGGCUUCACUCCAAUGGCUGCCGUGGGAACAGACAAGGAACUCAGCGACCUGCUGGACUUUACUGCGAUGUUUGAGGUGCCUAGUGGUGGGAAGAUUAGAACGCUUGGAGGUCCGGAGGAGCGGACUGGAACCAGCACCUGGGCUGCUGGAGAGCAGGGCAGUACCUCCUUUCAUCCAGCUCGGGUGUACCCUGAA